CCAGACAGCCAGGAUGUUGGCUUAGAAGCAGCCAUCAUUUAAAGAAAGCGUAAUAGCUCACUGGUCGAGUCGGCCUGCGCGGAAGAUGUAACGGGGCUAAACCAUGCACCGAAGCUGCGGCAGCGACGCUGAUGCGUUGUUGGGUAGGGGAGCGUUCUGUAAGCCUGCGAAGGUGGCCUGUGAGGGUUGCUGGAGGUAUCAGAAGUGCGAAUGCUGACAUAAGUAACGAUAAAGCGGGUGAAAAGCCCGCUCGCCGGAAGACCAAGGGUUCCUGUCCAACGUUAAUCGGGGCAGG
rnacentral:rRNA from 6 species